GACGAACGCUGGCGGCGUGCUUAACACAUGCAAGUCGAACGGAAAGGCCCUGCUUUUGUGGGGUGCUCGAGUGGCGAACGGGUGAGUAACACGUGAGUAACCUGCCCUUGACUUUGGGAUAACUUCAGGAAACUGGGGCUAAUACCGGAUAGGAGCUCCUGCUGCAUGGUGGGGGUUGGAAAGUUUCGGCGGUUGGGGAUGGACUCGCGGCUUAUCAGCUUGUUGGUGGGGUAGUGGCUUACCAAGGCUUUGACGGGUAGCCGGCCUGAGAGGGUGACCGGCCACAUUGGGACUGAGAUACGGCCCAGACUCCUACGGGAGGCAGCAGUGGGGAAUAUUGCACGAUGGGCGGAAGCCUGAUGCAGCAACGCCGCGUGCGGGAUGACGGCCUUCGGGGUGGAAACCGCUUUCGCCUGUGACGAAGCGUGAGUGACGGUAAUGGGUAAAGAAGCACCGGCUAACUACGUG
rnacentral:rRNA from 1 species